GAUGAACGCUGGCGGCGUGCCUAAUACAUGCAAGUCGAGCGAACAGAUGAGGAGCUUGCUCCUCUGACGUUAGCGGCGGACGGGUGAGUAACACAUGGAUAACCUACCUAUAAGACUGGGAUAACUUCGGGAAACCGGAGCUAAUACCGGAUAAUAUAUUGAACCGCAUGGUUCAAUAGUGAAAGACGGUUUUGCUGUCACUUAUAGAUGGAUCCGCGCCGCAUUAGCUAGUUGGUAAGGUAACGGCUUACCAAGGCAACGAUGCGUAGCCGACCUGAGAGGGUGAUCGGCCACACUGGAACUGAGACACGGUCCAGACUCCUACGGGAGGCAGCAAUAGGGAAUCUUCCGCAAUGGGCGAAAGCCUGACGGAGCAACGCCGCGUGAGUGAUGAAGGUCUUCGGAUCGUAAAACUCUGUUAUUAGGGAAGAACAAAUGUGUAAGUAACUAUGCACGUCUUGACGGUACCUAAUCAGAAAGCCACGGCUAACUACGUG
rnacentral:rRNA from 1 species